CCCUUCUUUCAUUUUUCUUCUCUUUCUCUCUCUCUUGAGACGCCAAACGUGGAAAGUGCGUGGCCCGUUGAUGCCGGCAUCUCUCCUUAUAUCCAGCCGAGACGCGGGCACGGAAUGAGAUAAAAGUGCAGAUACGAGUAAUACUUGGUAUAGUUGAAGAAGCAAAUCGGAAUUCUAUUUCUUUUUUGAGUUUGAUUCGGGUUUGAGGAAAACUCGGAUUGCUCGAAGGGCGUCGCCGUCGCCAGCCCGGAUCGUCUGGUGGGGAGCUCCUUUCGUUUCCGUUUUCUUCACCCGAAUUGUCUGUGGCCGGCAAAGCAAGCGUAAUAUAUGGCUCUUGAGAACGUUAUAACUUCACCUCAUAGGAGGACACAGACUCAGACUGCAUUUUCUCCACCGUUACUCAAGAGACAGUACUCACGAAACGGUGAAUUGGGAACCUGUUCAGCCCUUUUUCAGAGACAUCGAUUUCUUCUGACUGCUUUUGCUCUCCUUGCUUUCCUGUGCACUAUUUAUCUCUACUUUGCCGUGACUCUUGGGGCUGGUAAUGCAUGCUCUGGAUUGACAGGGUCCCAGAAGGCAUCAUGUCAUUUUGAGCUGGCAAAAGCAUCUGUAGCCAAAGGAAAGCUGAAAUUCUUCUAGCACAUCAAGCAUUCUCCAGUCUUUAGUAGUUGUUUUCUUUUGCCCUAUGUCUUGGGAGUUAGUGUCUGAGUUGUUUUAAGUACUUUUUAAGUGUAUAUGCCACAAAGGAAAGAGUAUAUGGCAACCAGUAUGCCUUACAUGUAAAGUAUGCCUUUCUGAAUUUUUGCAUCUCGUUUUGAAGGUGUAUUUUCUAGUCUUUAAGUAUUAGAAGACUUCUUAGAAACAU